AUGUCACCCUCGAAGGCUCCGGGAGUUGAUGGUUUUACUGCAGGGUUUUUCCAGCGGCAUUGGAAUAUCAUUCGAGGAGACUUAGUACCCGCUAUUCUGGGUUUUCUUAAUGGGGGCGAGCUACCAGAGGGUUUCAAUGAUACUUCGAUCACACUCAUCCCAAAGGUACGCAACCCUCAAUGCAUUGCUCAGUACCGACCCAUUUCGUUGUGUCUGGUUCCUUACAAGAUCGGGGCCAAGAUGAUCACUAAUCGCUUGAAAGAGCUAAUGGACAUUGUGGUUGGUGAAGAGCAAAGUGCUUUUGUCCCCGGCAGGUUGAUUACUGAUAAUGUUGUGGUGGCUUUUGAGAGCGUCCAGACGAUGAGAAGGAGGAAGAAAGGGAAGAAUUUUUCUUGUGCUGUCAAGUUAGACAUGAUGAAGGCCUAUGAUCGAGUCGAAUGGCACUAUUUGGAGGCAAUUAUGACUAAACUUGGUUUCAGC
rnacentral:rRNA from 1 species